rnacentral:rRNA from 1 species
CCAAUAGCGUAUAUUAAAGUUGUUGCAGUUAAAAAGCUCGUAGUUGAAUUUCGGGGUCAGCAAGUUGGUCGUGCCUCUGGUAUGCACUGGCUUUACUGAUUCCUCCUUCUUGUAGAACCUUAAUGCCAUUAACUUGGUGUUGUGGGGAAACAGGACUGUUACUUUGAAAAAAUUAGAGUGUUUAAAGCAAGCUAACGCUUGAAUACAUUAGCAUGGAAUAAUGAAAUAGGACGAUCGAUCCUAUUUUGUUGGUUUCUAGGAUUGACGUAAUGAUUAAUAGGGAUAGUUGGGGGCAUUAGUAUUCAAUUGUCAGAGGUGAAAUUCUUGGAUUUAUUGAAGACUAACUACUGCGAAAGCAUUUGCCAAGGAUGUUUUCAUUAAUCAAGAACGAAAGUUAGGGGAUCGAAGACGAUCAGAUACCGUCGUAGUCUUAACCAUAAACUAUGCCGACUAGGGAUCGGAUGAUGUUAAUUUUAUAAUGACUCAUUCGGCGCCUUACG